UGGAAGGUGACAGUACGGAGGCAGCGAGACGGGGGCUCGGCGCGCCGCUCCUCCACCCCGGCCCCAGCGUGCACUUAAUUGGCACCGUAAGAAGCCCACACACCCAGCCAAAGGGAGGGGGCACCGAUGGAGGGUAACAGAUGCUCAUUGUGACGUGAACGUAAUUUCAGUACCUGCAUAGGAGAAAUGACGACCGGAGCCACCCGAGCUUAAAGUUAUGCCUACCACCUGCCAUGCUGUCAUUGGACAUCACUGGGACAAGCCUGACUCCAUCUUUCCUUCUCCAGUAAGAUGGCUUGCAAUGAAGUACCCUGAGUCUUCAACUGAUGGAUUCUCAGAAGGUAGCUCCUGGUGUAGCCAUGCAUGCUUUGCUCUAACCGCUUGGAGAGAACAAGAUAAAGAAGCUCCAAAUACCUUGGCUCUUGGUUCUCAGCAGUUUCCCAGAAUCAGAGUUGGAGACUCAGGACAGGAGGCCUCAAAGGACCAGGUGGAAGGAUAUGAAGGGAAGGCUAACAAGGCCACUCAGUUGUUAUUUGGACACUCAUCAUUAAAUGCUGUUUUUCAGGGAAGAUGGGGCUGAGAAUGGUUCAAACUAUUGGAACUACAAACAAACCUUUUAAAACAGAUCCCAGGUAGGAUGGAUAAAGUCCUAUGUGCUUGAGUUUGCUGGGAAGCUGUAGUGGAAAUGCUAAGUCAUAGCCUAAACCAGUGAUUGAGCACCUGCUGGGAAUGCAGUGCCAACCCAGGGGAGCUCAGGUGUAUACAAUGCUCCUGAGUGACUGGAAGGGGUGGAACCAGGAUCCACCCCCUCCCAGACCUCAUUUAAGGGUUGGCAGUGCCUACCUGAAUGUUUCCAAAGAAGCUGAGGCAGUUCAUCUGAGACGUGCUGUAUUAGCAGCUUCAGUGUUUUCUUACCCAAAUGCCCGAAGAAUCAGCACAACCUGUUCCAUGCCUCACAAGCCCAGAGGCCUCUUGCAUGUACCUCCCCGUCAUUUCUUCUGUACCCUGAAGAUACCUGUUCUACAUGCACUAUUCUAUGCUACCUGGGAAGGGCAAAAGCCAUCCUCCUCUAUUCCCAUCCAUGAGGGAACAGUUUCACGCGUGACUUCUAAGCCAGUGAAAGACUGCCUACUCACAGAGGAUGAUGUUCAGUCUGCUUCCUCCUCUCUUCUGGAGACAAACCCUACCAAAGAAACCAAAGCCUGUACCCUAUUGGCCAAGCUUUCACGUAAGCAAAGGGAGAGAUGCCCAAAGAUGUCUUCUGCCAGCGCUCAUGGGAACUGAAGCUAAAGUCAUCACAUUGUCAUAGUCAUUACUUCGCAGGCAUGGGUUGAUGGUUGUACUAGGUGAACUUAUGGUCUUUCCAACCCUUAUGAUUCUAUGAUCUGUGCUCCUCACACUCCUUGGCAACCCGUAGGGAUGCUCUGCUCCUGAGUUUGUAGAGAAGAAACUACUCUCCCUUUUUGGCUUUCAUCUUUUAUGCUUGAGCACAUGGUGAUAUCAACGAACAUGGAUUCUAGUCUGGAAAGCUGCUUGCCACUGACUGCAGGGGACAAUUUAAUCUUCAUGUUAACUUCACUGCUGGGCUUCCUAGAUGGUUGUUUUGCUGCCUGAGCCUGAAGCAGCAAGUGAGGAAGGGGAGUCAAAAAGAGAAAUUAACUCCCUGGGCUGAAAUUUCAACCCUCUCUGAUUUUUCUCUACAAAGGUGGAACAGGCUUAGAGGAAAGGGCUGCUCAAGCCUGGUCAGAGCCUUCCUGAAGGCAGGUGUCUGCAGUGCUACCCUUCCUGGAGAAGGAAUAAAUCUGGAUAUCCCAGCAUCAAAAACAGGCUAUUUACCUCUUUAAGAACAUCCCCUUACUGCACCUUUCCUCUGCUCUCAAUAUUAAGUUUGCCUUUCCUCUCUCUUUCUUCUCUUUGCUUUUCCUGGGCCUCCGAAGAUCUGGACACUGUGUCCCUCCCACAGAAAGAGGGUAGAAAAAUACUAUGAGGUUGCAGCCCUAUUCUAGCUUGGCAGCUGCUGGUUCUGCGUGUCCAUCUUCCUCCACUACUCUCUCCCCCACUGUUAGAUUCAAUUUCAUAAAUAAAUACCCCACGUAUUGACGUCAUUAUAGGCCUUGAGAAAUAAUACUCCUGCCGCUUUCUUUGCUAAGUGUGGGGAACGGAGAAGAGAGGGAGGAGGAACAGAAGCAACAACGUCUUGGAAGAUGAAGACUUAAUAUUCUCCUAAUCGCCUGCCUCCCUUUGCGGCUAUGACCCAGCUGUGAAGAAUACAAAGAUUACCAUUAUCAGCGUGCCCUUGUGGCUUGAGAAAGGAUAAUUGAGUAUCAAAAAUUCCUAUUACAGAUGAUUUUUAUUAGGAGAGAGGAUGAUGGGGACAUACUCUGUCCUAGAAGCUGGAAGGGUACCCUCAACAGUGUACCCCUGUGCUCCUGUCAUGAAAUUAAGAAAUUUGUAUCCAAAACGUGCUUACAGUUCAUGUUUCUGCGUCUAAGACACCAGUGAUGUUUCCAGCCAUGUCUCAUUGAAAAUCUCUUUCCCUCACUUCAUUUCUGGAGGUCAAGUGGCUGCUUCAUAGACUAAGCUGUGACAAGUCAAAGCCAAGACCACUGAGUUUGUGCCUUUUUUUUUUUUUUUCCCUCAGUUCUAAUAUUACACUGUGGUACUCCUCAAGACUAUGAAAUAAUUUGUGUUUUUAUUGGUUUAUUUUGCUAGAAGAAUAAAAGAUUCCCUUCUCCAUGUCCUUACUCUUUGCCAAGCAAGAGCCUAGUCGGUUGGAAACCUCAGCUUUCAGAUCAAUAUUGGCAGACACCAGGAGAAGGCAGGGAAAGAGGAUCUUGCAGGGCUCUCUACAAAAGCUGAUUUUGAUGAGCAAGGCAUUCCUUGGGAUGCAUGCAGCUGGGAGUACAGCAGGGAAGCAGGGAGAGAAAAGACACCAGAUGUGAAAGGUUCUUAUAGCUGAUUUGCUUUAUUGAUAAUGUAUUACAAAUGGAAAGUACAAUAGGUGCACAAUCUAGGAAGUGUGUGUCUUGCCUAUUGCUUGAGUGCAGACAAGUGACAUUGUUGGUGAUGCAUCAAUGCCUUUCCCAGGCUUCCCCACAGCCAUAUAAAACAUCAGUGGACAAUAGUGUAUAAAAAAAUAAAAAUAAAUAAAAACAAUUUAAAAAACCCACUUCUUAAAAACAGCAUCAACAUGAACAACAAAUACAGUUCUUCCCUUUGUUUAGUGCAGCUAGGUACAUCACCAAAAAAAAAAAAAAAAAAAAGAGCUUUUGAGAGCAGAAGGAUGAAAUGGAUGAAGCUUUGAGGGAACAAGGAAGUAAAGGAAUCAGUCUGUAGGCUCAGUCAAUCCUGACAGCAUUGGCACUACUUAUUGAACACUAAGAAAACAGCUCAGCUGCUGUCUGGAUUUUAAAAUGAAAACUGAUCUCAGAAAUGGCAUAGAAGAGUGGAAAAAGAAGAUAAGUAUAUGAUUAGUAUUUCUUUUUUUUUCCCUCUCCUAAAUCUCCCCAUACCCAGAAUAAGCCAAGACAGUGAUUUACACACCUUACAAAGGUGUGGCCACCUCCCUGCAGCAGGCUGCAUGCUCCUUCCUUUCCUCUAUCCCAGUGGGAAUCUCAUGGGAAAAAUACCCUCGGAGGUGAUGCUUUAUGCAAAAGUCUCUUGCCCUUUGCCUUCUGCAGAGCUCAGCAAUAGCACUGAGAUCAAGGGACUGAUUUUUCCUGGGGCAUCGAACACCAUUACAGAUUUCUCUGUUGGCAUAGUUGUUUUCUUUUCUGUACCCUUGUGUGUCAGAAGAGCACAGAAAGUCACUGGAUCAGACCGACUGGAGGUUUUGGGGUUUCCAGAUCCACUCCAAGCUGUGGAAAUCCUCCCCAAGGAUUUCCAAGCUAUGCCUGUGAUUUAUCUAUUAACCUGCGAUGGAGAUUUGCAGGCAACAGAAGUAACUUGAGGUCCCUCAGAAGAAGAAAAGGUCCCAUCUCAGCCAGUCUCACCCACUCAAUGGACCUCACUGGACAAGAGCAGGCUCAGAGCUUCGUGGGGCUGCUUGAUUCUACCCUUGCACACCAGUGUGCUAUUUGCUGAGCCAGAGGGCACAUUUUAAACAAUUUCACACAUUUCCAAAAAAUUACCCCAGAUUUAUCACUCUGCUCUGGCCCCAUGGCAGUUGAGGUGGAAAAGAGCCACUUUGUGAUGUGUAGCAGCAGAUACACUCCCACUCCUUGCCAGCAUCCCUGGCCUCACUACCCAAACCUCAAUGUGUAUCUGUGUAUUUGUCUCACCAAUGCAAGCACCACAAGCACCAGGAUGCAGAAGGUGUCAAGGUUGUUGGCAUCCCAGGAAGGAAGAGAGCUCAGUGCACCCAUGCAAGUGCCAAAGUGCCUAACUUAUUUUAUUUUGCAUAACAGAGGGGAUUUUGAGUGCUUUGCCCAAAGCUGGGGACACUUCCAGCAGCAUCAACGCAGUGCUUGGAAAUGGCAUUGGCAUCCUUAUGGAGCUCCCAGCCCCAGUUGUUUGCUCGCUGUGGAAGCAGGCAAGAGAUAUGCUUGGAGUUUCACCUGUUUUUAAGUCAUCUCUGAAUGUCCACCAUGACCAUGAUUUAUGCGGGUGGGGGGGGAGGGGGGAAAGCAAAAAUGGAACAAAUAUGCUAAACAACAUUUCCAGCAGCAGCCACCAGAAGCUGCAAUUAAAUCAGUCCUCACCCGACAGAAGGACACCCACUCCUGCAAACAAAACUGAAGGUCAACGACAGGUGCUGGGGUGGGGACAGGAACAGACCCAAACUGUCUACACCUGCAGUGAAUUGGAAAGGACUUGAGAUUAAGGUCCCCUGUUGUUUGGUGUGGCCUUCUCCCCACCCAACUCCAACCCCAAGAGCAAAAAUAAACCAAAACUAAAAGAAAAAAAAAAUCAGGCUUUGUAUUCUGGAUGGAUAUUUAUUUGUUUAACUGGUUUUCUUUUUUUUUUUUUUUUUUUUUUCAUUUUUCUUUUUUUUUGGUACAAAGCAUCCAGGAAAGCUUUUACUUCUCUUUUUAAAAAAUAAAAACUAGGUUUCUUUUAAAAAAAGACACAUGGAAAGGAAGAAAAAAAAGAAAGUCAAUUAUUUUCAAUUGCUGUUUUUGUUCUGCCUUCCCGCCCC
rnacentral:lncRNA from 1 species